rnacentral:antisense_RNA from 1 species
UGUCAUGGCGGCUGUGCGCGGGGUACCUUCGGGUGCGCCGGGGUUUUCUGUGGCCCGGUCUUCCACACCUGCGUACAGCUGCCACCUUC